GAUGAACGCUGGCGGCGUGCCUAAUACAUGCAAGUCGAACGCAUUGAGAGAAGUGCUUGCACUUUUCAAUUUGAGUGGCGAACGGGUGAGUAACACAUGGGCAACCUACCUGAUAGCGGGGGAUAACGAGUGGAAACAUUCGCUAAUACCGCAUAACAAUAGAGAAGGCAUCUUCUUUAUUUAAAAGGCGCUUUCAAGCGUCACUAUCAGAUGGGCCCGCGGUGCAUUAGUUAGUUGGUGGGGUGAAGGCCUACCAAGACGAUGAUGCAUAGCCAGGUUGAGAGACUGAUCGGCCACAGUGGGACUGAGACACGGCCCAAACUCCUACGGGAGGCUGCAGUAGUGAAUCUUCCACAAUGGACGAAAGUCUGAUGGAGCAACGCCGCGUGUGUGAUGAAGGCUUUCGGGUCGUAAAGCACUGUUGUAUGGGAAGAAAUGCUAGGCUAGGAAAUGAGCUUAGUUUGACGGUACCAUACCAGAAGGGGACGGCUAAAUACGUGCCAGCCGCCGCGGUAA
rnacentral:rRNA from 1 species